rnacentral:rRNA from 1 species
AGCGGCGGACGGGUGAGUAACGCGUGGGUAACCUGCCUUAUACAGGGGGAUAACAGUUAGAAAUGACUGCUAAUACCGCAUAAGCGCACAGUACCGCAUGGUAGUGUGUGAAAAACUCCGGUGGUAUAAGAUGGACCCGCGUCUGAUUAGCCAGUUGGCGGGGUAACGGCCCACCAAGGCGACGAUCGGUAGCCGGACUGAGAGGUUGACCGGCCACAUUGGGACUGAGACACGGCCCAGACUCCUACGGAAGGCAGCAG